GCCUUCGUGGUGUAAUGGUAGCACACUCGACGCAUAUUCGAGAGGUCCAGGUUCAAGUCUCGGCGAAGGCU
rnacentral:tRNA from 1 species